GACGUAGGGCGCGAGCGUUGUCCGGAUUUAUUGGGCGUAAAGAGCUCGUAGGCGGUUUGUCGCGUCUGCCGUGAAAGUCCGGGGCUCAACUCCGGAUCUGCGGUGGGUACGGGCAGACUAGAGUGAUGUAGGGGAGACUGGAAUUCCUGGUGUAGCGGUGAAAUGCGCAGAUAUCAGGAGGAACACCGAUGGCGAAGGCGGGUCUCUGGGCAGUAACUGACGCUGAGGAGCGAAAGCGUGGGGAGCGAACAGG
rnacentral:rRNA from 1 species